UACGUAGGGGGCGAGCGUUGUCCGGAUUUAUUGGGCGUAAAGAGCGUGUAGGCGGCUUGGUAGGUCUGCUGUGAAAACUCGAGGCUCAACCUCGAGAUGUCGGCUGAAACCAUCUGGCUAGAGUCCGGAAGAGGAGAAUGGAAUUCCCGGUGUAGCGGUGAAAUGCGCAGAUAUCGGGAGGAACAUCAGUGGCGAAGGCGGCCCUCUGGUCCAGUACUGACACUCAAGUGCGAAAGCGUGGGGAGCAAACAGG
rnacentral:rRNA from 1 species